AUUGAACGCUGGCGGUAUGCUUAACACAUGCAAGUCGAACGAUGAGAAAGAGCUUGCUCUUUCGAUUAGUGGCGGACGGGUGCGUAACGCGUAGGAAUCUACCUAUUAGUGGGGGACAACUUAGGGAAACUUAAGCUAAUACCGCAUACGCCCUACGGGGGAAAGAAGGGGAUCGCAAGACCUUUUGCUAAUAGAUGAGCCUGCGUAGGAUUAGCUAGUUGGUGGGGUAAAAGCUCACCAAGGCGACGAUCCUUAACUGGUUUGAGAGUAUGAUCAGUCACACUGGAACUGAGACACGGUCCAGACUCCUACGGGAGGCAGCAGUGGGGAAUAUUGGACAAUGGGCGAAAGCCUGAUCCAGCAAUACCGCGUGUGUGAAGAAGGCCUUAGGGUUGUAAAGCACUUUCAAUUGGAAGGAAAACCUCGAAGCUAAUACCUUCGAGUUUGACAUUACCUUUAGAAGAAGCACCGGCUAACUCCGUGCCAGCCGCCGCUGUAACAC
rnacentral:rRNA from 1 species